rnacentral:rRNA from 1 species
UACGGAGGGAGCUAGCGUUGUUCGGAAUUACUGGGCGUAAGGCGCACGUAGGCGGCUACUCAAGUCAGAGGUGAAAGCCCGGGGCUCAACCCCGGAACUGCCUUUGAAACUAGGUAGCUAGAAUCUUGGAGAGGUCAGUGGAAUUCCGAGUGUAGAGGUGAAAUUCGUAGAUAUUCGGAAGAACACCAGUGGCGAAGGCGACUGACUGGACAAGUAUUGACGCUGAGGUGCGAAAGCGUGGGGAGCGAACAGG